rnacentral:lncRNA from 1 species
CGUUUUUUUGAGACAGGGUUCCACUCUGUCACCCAGGCUGGAGUGCAGUGGUGUGAUCUCGGCUCACUGCGGCCUCAACCUGGGCUCAAGCGAUCCUCCCGCCUCAGCCUCUUAAAGGGCUGAAAUUGCAGGCAUGAGCCACCACGCCAAGCCCCCAUAUUCUCUUUUUUUUUUUUUUUUUUUUUUUGAGAUAGAGUUUCCCUCUUGUUGCCCAGGCUGGAGUGGAA